GAACUCACUUUGUAGACCACGCUGGCCUAGAACUCAGAGCGCUGUCUCCUUCUGCCUCCUGAGUGCUGUGAUUAAAGGCGUGUGCCACCAUGUAAAUAUUAGAAUAAAUAUAAAAGCCAGAGCUUCACUAUUUUAAAACAUUUAUUUGUGUGUGUGUGUGUCUGUCUGUCUGUCUUCCUGUGUAUGUGCAGAUGCUCAACAAGGCCAGAGGAUUGUGUUGGAUCCCUUGAAACUAGAGUGUUAGGGCGUUGUAAGCGGCUCUGUGGGUGUAGGUACUGAACUUGGAUCUCCUUGGAAGAGAAAACAGCACUCUUAGCCGCUGAGCAUCUCUCCAGCCUCCACUUUUACUACUUUUCGAGGCUGGUUUUAACUCAGUAUGUGACCCAGACUGACUCCAACUUGACAAUACUGAAUUUUUAAAAUUAUCAUCAUAAUAGCUGCUUAUUGCAAUGAGUAUACCUUCUGUAGGUGUUACAGAGGUCUAAAGAAAAAUUCAUAAUCAUGCCAGUACUGCUAUUUUUUUGGGUAGCAAAUGUUAUCAGUGCUUAGACUGCUUAAGCCUUUUCUUCAUAUACUCGUGUGGAGGUUUCCACGUGUGAACUUGUAAGGAGUGCUUAGUUCAGCUCCCUCCUGGGCCCAGAGGAAUGUGAAAUCUGAAGUUGUGGUCUAGUGCUUUCCUGUUAGCAGUGUGGCGUAAUCCUUACUGCAGUUGCCAGGUUGCCUCCUCUCUGUCUGCUCACUCCAUUGCUGUUAGAAUGCAGUCUUGUGUUUCCAGGUAGCAGUGGCACCCAUCUGUUCAGUCGAUGGCAUAGUUGUCACAGGAGUACCAGCUCUAUAAGCAGAGCUGCUUGGUACUCCCUCUUGUGGGCCUGGGACCAGGAGCAGUGUCUGGCGCUGUGUUAGUUAUGCCCUGAACUAUUCAAUGGUGACCAGCCCUGGCUGAACCGAAAUUACUUUAGGAGAAUUGUGAAAAAGAACUCAGUAGAAACCUUUGGUAGCUGAACAGUAGUAGGUCCAGUUAGUUUUGGUCAUUUUCCACUGACUGUGUGCUGGCCUUUCCAGCUAACUGGACUGGACAGAAAGCUCAGAUGGAGAUUUGAUGCUGACUGAUUCUAGGCAGAUGGUAAGCUGUGAUAGGAAAUGUGGCGCCCGGUGCUAACUGUAGCUGAUUUGUGUGUUUUUAAGAUGCUGUGUAUAACUCACCCUGUUGUGAAUACUAUUUUAGUAACUUUGACUUAAGCUUAUAAACCUCUCCCUGUGAUUUGUUUGGCAUUGACAGAAUUAAAAUGCCAGUUAAAUGUUUACUGUUCUGCCUAUAAGUGAUUUGCUUGGUUAUUAAUACAGAGUUUAAAAAUUCAAGUUACCAAAAAGAUCUUAUUUUAUGAACUGAAAUCAGGGAGUCUUUGAAGAAGAAUCCAUCCUUCCCUUUUGGCUUUUUAAAGUAUUUUUAGAGUAUUUUGGUUUUGUUGUUAAGAUUUAUGACAUCUAUAUUAGAUACCAUCACACCAUCCAGAUAUUAUUAUGUAGAUACUUAACAGGAAAGAAAUAUUAACAGAAUCAGUGCAAAAACAAGUGCUGAGAGUCCUUUUGUCCUUACUCGGGAAGAGGGUCAGGGAUUUUCUGCUCAGGGAUUUUAUAGUGCUGACAGGUGUUAGAGGCUUGGAGAGGAUACAUGGACUUAGAUCUUUAAAGUGGCAUCAGAUUUAGAGAAGCCUCGGAGAAGGGAAAGGACAAGCCAGGUGGCCCAGCUGGGAUGUUGGCCUGAGGAUCCUCUCCUGGUGAUUCUUAGCUGGUGCACAGGCCUUUCUGUCCCGUGUUAAGUCUCAGCACCUGUACAACGUCACAGGGGAUUGGCUCAGCUCCAGUCUAGAUUCCAUGGAAUGCUAAGCCCUGAGGUGAUAGUCUGGCCAGUGCAUUGGAUGUGGGGGAUAUAGUAUCCAUCUCUGUAGCAGGCAGCCCACCCCUUCCUCCUGAGUGCUGGGGUGGGCUUGGGUUUUAGGAGUGGCUGAGGGUCUGAGGCUGUCCAACCUCAUUACAGAGGAGGGGUGGUAGACAAGGGCACUGACAGAGACCACCACUGAAGAAAUCUGCUCUGAAAUCCUUCUUUCAUUUAAUGUCUGAAUUCUGUGUGUAAUACCUUUUGCUUUAGACUAAGUUGGAUAUUUUAAGUGUUUUCUGUUAAAACAUGUAAACAUGUUACGCUUACAAUUAGAAUUGUAUAUUGUUAUCUUUUGAGAAAGGGUUGCACUCCAUAGCUCUGGCUGACUUGGAACUUGCUAUAUAGGUCAGGCUGGCCUCAAGAAAAAAAGAAUAAAAAUGGAAAAAAAUCAAUAUAAAAUGAACAAAAUACAAAAAAAUAACUUUAUCUUUACAGAAAUAUGGACUAUUUUAUAGCAUGAAACUUGUCCACCUAUUAGUAACCAGGAAAUCAAGUCUCCCCAUUGUCUCCUCUCCCCUUCCACUCCCUUUCACUCCCUCUAUAAACACUGUACCCAAGCUUAGCAGAUGUGUACCAUGCUUAUGUCUCCUUCCUGAGCCUCUCUCUCUCUCUUGCUGUGUCUGUCUCUGUCUCUCUCUCUCUCUCUUAGACAGUCUUACCUAGGGGGCUCCUAGACUUAGGAUCAUUCUAUUUUAGCUUCCUGAGUGCUGAGAUCACAGGCAUGUUUCAGCAUGCCUUCCUUGUAGAAGCAUACUUAAGUCUAUCUGAAAACCCUUUCUUAUCAAAAUGAGAUCUCUUUUUUUCUUUUCCUUUAUUUUUUUAACUGGGGAAGAUCUCUUCUUUUUUACUGCCAUAUUCCUGCUGUUUUGAUAUACGCUGGGUAUAUUGUUCCUUUCUGUGCUGAAUGAGUUGGAGAGAGAGAAAGAGAGAGAGAGAGAGAGAGAGAGAGAUACAUACAUACACUGUGAAUGAUGCAGAGAAACCAGAAGGUUAUGAUAUUUUGGUAUCGGGACUUUCAGAACUGUAUCAAACAUUGAGGAAAGAUUGUACUCAUAUGUGAAUGUUCUUCUGUCUUCCCAUUGUUCUCCAGGUUUGUGUAUUAUCAGAAAUUUCUAUCUAUUAUAUGUGUGUGUGCCUGCUUGUCUGUGUGUACACCAUAUGUGUGCAGGUAUCCACAGAGUCCAAACUGGGGUUGGAGCUCCUGAAACUAGAGUUAGAGGUUGUUGGGAACUUCCAGAUAUGUACUCUGGCAAGAGUAUCAAGUGCUUUUAAUUUUUGAGCCAUUUCCUUGAAAAACC
rnacentral:lncRNA from 1 species